AUAUCCUUGUGACAAAGCAUACUCCGUGCUAAAUGUGGUACUAAUUACUUGAGUGUGAAGGUGAAGAUUUUUCCUGGCAAAUUUGGAACAACGGCUUAAAAAAUAGGUACUACACAGCUAAAGAGUCUUUCUUUCCAGAUUCAACUCAUAUACCUACUAUCUUGCCUUUCCCAAAGCAUAUAUAUUUAAAUUCUAGAAACCACCACAUUCACUUAUUAAAGCCAAGCAUGUGUCUAAUAUUUAUUACACUACAUUUUUACUUUUAUGAAAUACUGCUUGGAACAAAUAGUCACCCAGCACAGAGGUCCCGAACCCCUGGACCAUGGACCGGUAUUCAUCUGUGGCCUGUUUGUAACUGGGCUGCACAGCAGGAAGUGAGUGGCAAGUAAAUGAGCAUUAGUGAGAUCGGCGGCGGCAUUAGAGUCUCCUAAGAACCCUAUGGUGAACUGCACGUGCGAGGGAUCUAGGUGGUGUGCUUCUUAUGAGACUCUAAUUAAUGCCUGAUGAUUUGAGGUGGAACAGUUUUAUCCUGAAACUAUCCCCUCUGCCAGCUGGCCAUGGAAAAACUUGUCUUUCACAAAAUUGGUCCUUGGUGCUAAAAAGGCUGGAGACCACUGAUCUAGGGCAUAGCUAGUUUUUGCCAUAGCUGUGUCAUAACUAGAUGUGUUGAGACAAAAUCUCACCUGUAGAUCUGAGUUGAGCAUAUGAGCCUAUUUCAUUGUGGUAGACAAUUCUGUCUGCCAUGGUCCUCCAAAGAUAUUCACAACCUAAUCCCCAGAAUCUGUAAAUAUGAUACCUUACAUGGCAAAAGGGAGUUUGUAUACAUGAUUAAGUUAAGGAUCUUGAUGUGGGGAGAUUAUCCUGGAUUAACCAGGUGGGUUCAAUGUCAUCAGAAGGCUCCUCCUAUGAGGGAGGAAGAAAGUCAGAAAUAAGAGUAGGAGAUAUGAUGUUUGAGCAGAGGAGAGAGAAAGAGACAGAGAGAUUUGAGGAUGAUAUGCUGCUGGUUUUGUUUUGAAGAUGAACGAAGGGGCCCUGAGCCAAGGAAUGCAGGCCACCUCUAGAAGCUGGAAAAGGCAAGGAAAUGGAUUCCCCCAAGAGCCUCCGGAAGGAACACAACCAUGCCAACCCGUUUUAGACUUCUGAUCUCCUGAACUAGGCUGCCACACUCAUCUAGGGGCUGCGUCUACUAAUUGAUUCAUUGAAACACAAGUGGAAAGAAGAUAAAGAUCCCUGUUAUUUGAGAGCAAAUCUUCUGAAUAUCCAUUCCAUGAAACUCAGAUACCUUCUCCAGGUAAGACUUAACUUUGUAAACUAUUCACGGCAGAAAUGUAAACAUAAAGAAAUUGCCCUACACACUAGGUAAGUAACAGAGUGGAGUGAAUCUUAAGCAAAAGGGUCAAGUAGGCAAUGAGAUUUUUUUUUUGUCAGAGUCAUUCUUUCUUUUCAAACUCAGAGGUAUUUCAUAUACUAGCAAAUUAAAGCCAGCUGCGCUUUGGGAGGAAGAGGAUGUUAUUUAGUUGGCAGAUAACCUUAAAUCGCACCUUUGCCCCAUAGCCUAUGGCCUUGGGUAAAUAAGUGAGCUUCUUUGAGCUUUAAUCUCCUCAAUGCCAAAUGUAACUAUCUGCUAUGGUCUGAAUGUGUUCCCCAAAAUUCAUGUAUUAAAAACUUAAUCCCCAGUGCAGCAGUGCUGAAAGGUGAGUCUCUUUGGGAGGUGUUUAGGUCGUGAGGGCUCUGCCCUUAUAAAUAGAUUAAUGCUAUCAAACUAGGACUUGAUGGAGGAAGUUAGUCUCUCUUGACCGUCUGACGUCCCCCAUAUAAGGACACAGCAAAAAAGCCCUUGUCAGACACCAAAUGUUGGUGCCUUGAUCUUGGACUUCCCAAUCCCUAGAACUGUGAGAACAUAAAAUUCUCUUCUUUAUAAAUUACCCAGUUUCAAGUAUUUUGUUGUACUAGCACAAAACACACUAAGACACUAUCAUACAAGGUCAUUGUUCUAAAUAUUGUAUGAAAGAGGUGGGUAUAUGAUGGAUAAUUAUUUCAUAAGUACUAAAAAAAAAUGAUGGUAGGGGCACCUAAGAACUCUCAUUUUACAGAUGUGGGAACUGGGGCUUGAGAAUUAUUUCCAUUGUUUAAGUUCAGUCAGCUUACUUAGUCAAAACUAGAACUCAGGUCUCUUGACUUCCGAGGCCAGUGUUUUUUCAAGCUACCUCUAAGUUAUUCUACAAUUCCAAAAACUUGCUCUUAAGACUGUGGAUGUAGCUAAAGUUAUAGCUUCCAGUUUGCCUACAAUGAACAAAACUAUUUUUAUUAUUAGG